CUGGCCGUAAACGAUGAACACUAGAUGUUGGGGGAAUCGACCCCUCCGGUGUCGUAGCUAACGCGUUAAGUGUUCCGCCUGGGGAGUACGCACGCAAGUGUGAAACUCAAAGGAAUUGACGGGGGCCCGCACAAGCGGUGGAGUAUGUGGUUUAAUUCGAUGCAACGCGAAGAACCUUACCAAGGCUUGACAUCCUGCGAAUCUCCAAGAAAUUGGAGAGUGCCUUCGGGAACGCAGUGACAGGUGGUGCAUGGCUGUCGUCAGCUCGUGUCAUGAGAUGUUGGGUUAAGUCCCGCAACGAGCGCAACCCACGUUUUUAGUUGCCAGCAUUCAGUUGGGCACUCUAGAAAGACUGCCGGUGACAAACCGGAGGAAGGUGUGGACGACGUCAAGUCAUCAUGCCCCUUACGCCUUGGGCUACACACGUACUACAAUGCUGCGGACAAAGAGUAGCGAUCUUGCAAAAGUUAGCUAAUCUCGUAAACCGUGGCUCAGUUCAGAUCGUAGGCUGCAACUCGCCUACAUGAAGGAGGAAUCGCUAGUAAUCGCAGGUCAGCAUACUGCGGUGAAUACGUUCCCGGGCCUUGUACACACCGCCCGUCACACCAUGGAAGUUGGCCAUGCCCGAAGUCGUUACUCUAACCUUUUGGAAGAGGGCGCCGAAGGCAGGGCUAAUGACUGGGGUGAAGUCGUAACAAGGUAGCCGUAGCGGAAGCUGCGGCUGGAUCACCUCCUAA
rnacentral:rRNA from 1 species